rnacentral:rRNA from 1 species
UACAGAGGGGGCAAGCGUUGUUCGGAAUUACUGGGCGUAAAGGGCGCGUAGGCGGCCUGCUAAGUCGGAUGUGAAAUCCCUCGGCUCAACCGAGGAACUGCAUCCGAUACUGGCGGGCUUGAAUCCGGGAGAGGGAUGUGGAAUUCCAGGUGUAGCGGUGAAAUGCGUAGAUAUCUGGAGGAACACCGGUGGCGAAGGCGGCAUCCUGGACCGGUAUUGACGCUGAGGCGCGAAAGCUAGGGGAGCAAACGGG